ensembl:lncRNA
CCUGCCCUCUUCUCUUCAUCCCCCUGGAGCUCAGCCUGCUGCAGGGUGCUGUCCUCAAACCCUGUGGUCAUGUAUGGAUGUGAGAGUUGGACUAUAAAGAAAGCUGAGCACCAAAGAAUUGAUGCUUUUGAACUGUGGUGUUGGAGAAGACUCUUGAGAGUCCCUUGGACUGCAAGGAGAUCUAACUAGUCCCUCCUAAAGGAGAUCAGUCCUGGGUGUUCAUUGGAAGGACUGAUGUUGAAGCUGAAACUCCAAUACUUUGGCCACCUGAUGUGAAGAGAUGACUCACUGGAAAAGACCCUGAUGGUGGGAAAGAUUGAGGGCAGGAGGAGAAGGGGACAACAGAGGAUGAGAUGGUUGGAUGGCAUCACUGACUCAAUGGACACAGGUUUUGGCAAUGAUGAAUAACGGUGCUGUAAAUGACCACGUGCAGCUUUUUAUGUGAAUGAAGAUCUAAGUUCAUUGGGAUAAAUGAAGCACAAUGGAGCACAAUGGCUGGAGGAUGAG